rnacentral:lncRNA from 10 species
CACCCUCUAUAAUCCCCUUAAAAACCCCAGACCAAAGCUCCUUGGUGAGAUAAACGGGAGGGCCUCCUCCCAUCUCGUCACUCAGCACUCUGCAAUCAUUAAACUUUCUCUGCUGCAAACCCUGCUGUCACUAUGUAAUGGGUCUGUUACUGCACAGUGGGCAUAUGAACCCAUUGGUCCUAUAACAGAGGCAUGAAGUGAGCACAUGCUGUUGGAAAAAUGGUGAUGGUAGACUUGCCAAAAGCAUGGCUGCCACAAACAUUCAAUUUGUAUAAAACACGGUAUCUGCAAAGCACAAUAAAACAAAGUGCAAUAAGAUGAGGUGUGGCUGUAUAUUCAAAUUAAAAUGAGAUGUAGUUCUUUUACUCACCACAUUGGUAAAUAUUACUGGGAAAAUAACUGAUAAUAUCCAGAGUGGGAAGUGUGUGGGGGUACAGGUACUCUUGUACUAUAAAAUACAAGUCUAUUUUUUUAAUAGACUUUACUUUUUAGAACAGUUUUAAGUUCUCAGCAAAAUUGAGUGGGCGGUUCAGAAUGCCCAUAUAAUCCCUGCCCCACACAUGCACAGCCUCCCCAACGAUCAACAGCCCACACUACAAUCGUCUUAGCCCACUGGGCAGCUAUAACCAAAACAACAUAGACCAGUGGCUUAUAAACAAAAGAAUUUAUUUCUCACAGUUCUGGAGGCUGGGAAGUUCAAGAUCAACAUGCUGGCAGAUUUGGUGUCUGGUUAGGGCCUGCUUCCUCAUAGGUGAGGCUUUCUCACUGUAACCUCAUAUGGCCGAAGGGGCGAGGGAGUCUCUCAGGUCUCUUUUAUAAAAGCACUGAUCUCAUUCCUAAGGCCUCUGCCCUCAUGAACUAAUCACCUCCAAAAGGCCCAUCUCCUAAUCCAUCACCUUGUGGGGUAGGAUUUCAACACAGAUUAUUUUGUAAUUCAUAGACGUGAUGAUUGGGUGUUCCUAUGCAUGUGUGAGAUGUGCCACCUUCAAACCUUGUUACUGUAAGAGUUAAAGAAAGAGGAAAGAAGCCAGAAAAGGGGCUCAACAGUCAAAAACAGGUUUAUUUUGGAGAAUAAACCUGAAAGGGGCUUCUGGCCAAUUUCAGUCAGGAGGAUUCUCUAUUGCAACUAUCAACAGCCUGCACUACAAUCGUCUUAGCCCAUUGGGCUGCUAUAACCAAAAUAACAUAGACCGGUGGCUCAUAAACAACAAGAGUAUAUAUUGGUUUUAGAGUGAGAGAGCUUUAUCACAGGCUUGGAAUGUUUCUGUGUGGGGGAGAAGUUUAUGGUGGGGUUGGAAUGUCUCUGGCAGAAGGGGAGGUUAUGUUGGGGCUGACAUCUCUCUGCCGGGGGGGAAGUUAUCUCCGGGCUGGCUUGUCUCUGGUCAGGGAGGGAUUUAUCUUAUGGUUGAAAUGUUUCUGGUCGGAGAUGUCAUUUGUGGCUUAUGGUCAUGCUGACCUUAGUCAUUAGGCUGAUGACCUUUGGAUUUAGGCAAUUUUUGAUCAAGGGGAACUUUAGAAUGGCAGUGCUUGUCCAAGAUGGUGAUGCUUCUGCUCUGUCAGCUACCAUGUGGGCAUAUUACCUAUCUGACAUGAACUUAGAAAAAAAGAAACUAAAAAAAAAAGCAAAAAGGAUUUCAACGCACUAAUUUGAAGGGAUAUAAACAUUCAAUCCAUGGCAACAGUGGUACAUUUGUUACAACUGAUAAACCUAUGUUGAUACAUAAUUAUCACUCAAGGGCUAUAGUUUACAUGAAUACAUCUUGACAGGUAUCCAGCAUUAUAACAUGGCACAGAAUAGUUUCACUGCCCUAAAAACCCUCUGUGCUCCACUUUUUCUUCCCUCCCUCACUCUACCCUCUGGCAACCACUGAUCCUUUUUCUCUCUCCAUAGUUUUGCCUUUUCCAGAAUGUCAUGCAGUUGAAAUCAUACAGUAUGUAGCCUAUUCAGAGUCACUGUUUUCAUUUAGUAAUAUCCAGCUAAGUUUCCUCCGUGUCCUUUCAUGGCUGAUAGCUCAUUUCUUUUCAGUGCUACAUAGUAUUCCAUUGUCUGGGUGUAUCAUAAUUUAUUUAUCCAUUCUCCUACUGAAGGACAUCUUUUUUGCUUCCAAGUUUUGUCGGUUAAGGUUGCUAUAAGCAUCUAUGUGCAGGUUUUUAUGUGGAUAUGUUUUCAACUCAUGGGAGUAAAUACCAAGGAGUACAAUUGCUGAUCAUAUGGUUAGAGUAUGUUUACUUUUAUAAGAAACUGCAAAAUUGUCUUCCAAGGUGGCUGUACCAUUUUGCAUCCCCAUCAGCAAUGAAUGAGAGUUCUUGCUGCUCCACACCCUGACCAGCAUUUGGUGCUGUCCGUGUUCUGGAUUUUGGCCAUUCUAACCGGUGUGUAGCGGUAUCUUUUUGUCGUUUUAAUUUGCAAUUCCCUAAUGAUGCAUGAUGCUGAGCACCUUUUCAUACGCUCUUUUCACAUCUGUAUGUCUUCUUUGAUGAAGUGUCUACUCUGGUCUUUAAUUGGGUUGUUCAUUUUCUCAUUGUUUUUUUUUUUUUAAUUUUGUUGUAGAGAUAGGGUCUCGACUCAGGUGAUCCUCCUAUCUCAGCCUCCCAAAGUGCUGGGAUUACAGGCAUGAGCCACCACACCCGGCCCUUAUUGUUGAGUUUUAAGAAUUCUUUGAAUAAUUUGGGUAACAGUCCUUUAUCCGAAAGUUAUGUCUUUUGCAAACAUGUUCUCCCACUCUUUGUCUUGACUUCUCAUUCUCUUGAUCAUUUUAGUGGGAAGUUGUUUCUUGGACAAUAUCUAGCAAAAUGAAAAACGUACACCUUUUGACUUUACUAUUAUGCUUCUAGAAAUACUUGGACCCAUACCCAAAACUAUAGGUACAUAAAUAUUUGUUGCAACAUUGUUUCCUUCUAGAAAUAGAAACCACAGGAGGGCGGUUCACACAGGGGACCAGGCCCCAGCCAAGGCCCCCUGUCCCUCACCAUGCUGGGUCAGAGUG